rnacentral:piRNA from 1 species
UAGGAGCUGGGCUGGAGGUGAUAAGAUGG